rnacentral:rRNA from 1 species
UCCAGACUCCUACGGGAGGCAGCAGUGGGGAAUAUUGGGCAAUGGGCGCAAGCCUGACCCAGCAACGCCGCGUGAAGGAAGAAGGCUUUCGGGUUGUAAACUACUUUUAUUGAGGACGAAACAAAUGACGGUACUCAAUGAAUAAGCCACGGCUAACUACGUGCCAGCAGCCGCGGUAAUACGUAGGUGGCAAGCGUUAUCCGGAUUUACUGGGUGUAAAGGGCGUGUAGGCGGGGAAGCAAGUCAGAUGUGAAAACCACGGGCUCAACCUGUGGCCUGCAUUUGAAACUGUUUUUCUUGAGUACUGGAGAGGCAGACGGAAUUCCUAGUGUAGCGGUGAAAUGCGUAGAUAUUAGGAGGAACACCAGUGGCGAAGGCGGUCUGCUGGACAGCAACUGACGCUGAGGCGCGAAAGCGUGGGGAGCAAACAGGAUUAGAUACCCGGGUAG